UCGGCGCUGGCUAAAGCUGACCCCCCCGCCCGACACCCCGUGGUGCUGGAGGCUCGCAGGGCCCAUUCCUGCGGGAUGCGACGGCCGCCUCCCUCUGCCCGGGGGCAGUGGAGGAUUCCUUCGCCCCCCGACGGCUGCUCACUCCCGGGGCUGGGGGCUGAGCCUCGCCGGUGGGGCCCGUCGCUCCGCCACAGCCGAGCCCUCGGCCCCCUUGAGGAGUCGUGUGGAUUUGGGGAUCCCCUCUCCCCUUCUCCACGCGCUCACGUCACCGACACGUCACCGAGCCCGGAGCACCCUGCCUGGAAACCCGCCUCCCCCGAGGGCUUCCACGGGCCCGCACCCGCGGUGAGGGAUGCUGCCGCCCGGCAGGUGCGGGGCGGAAGGCGAGGAGGAACCGUUCGGUCAAGCUUCCCCCCACGCGAGAAAUAACUAAAGCGAAGCCCGUGCGUGUCCGCGGGAUGCUGGGACGGCACCCGAGACCCGCAUCCCCCGCCCGACGGGGUUGGCCCGGCCGGGUACCGCUUUCCGAGGUGGCCCACCCGCAGCCCGGCCAGGCCCCAGGCACCCUCCGGGACAGGGAACCUCCCCCGGCCUCGGGAUCUCCUGUCCGCCGCUCUCCCGCCAUCUCUCCCCGCGACGGCUUGGCAGGGAGGAGGCGGUGGGCAGCGGACACCCACCCUGCCGCGGGCUGCAGCUGGAGAGGGACGGUUUCCCCAUAACCAGAAGCACCCCAGGCCCCCCCAGAGCAGUGCCCCCGCGGGUGGCAGAGCCCCGCUCCCCCGCCUGCGGGUGAUAAGACCGGGACGGCCACCCAGGCGCAGGGUGGGGGGCACGGCCACGGCUGCAGCCGCCCACCCCACACCCCGUGGGUGGCUGUGGCAACCCGUUGUCCCUGUCUGUGCCGCGGACACACUGAACCACGCUCGCACGGGUGGGUUUGGUUUUUUUUCCCCUUAGACGCUCUGCUUUCCCGUAGCCGCUUUCCCGGGGGAGGAUGCCUGGGCAGGGAGGAAGGGGAUGAUUUCCUCCAAGGGGGUGCCAGGGGGAGACCUCCCCCCACCCAGGGCCGCGCUCAGCAGUGUGAGAAUCCGCGGUGAUGAAUUGCCAGUCGCUGCCGUUAACAGGCUGGCCGAGCUCGGGGGGACCCCGAGGAGCGGGCAGGAGCGGACGGCGCGUCGCCCGGACUUCUCCGGUUGAAGCAGCCUAUUACCGAGCCGGAGCCUCUGCGCGGACUCGGUCGCAUCCUCCUCCCUCGCCGCCAACGCUGCGAUCGGGGAGGAUUUCUCGACCUUACGGGGAAAAUAGAUGAAUAACUUGUGCUGAGAGUUGCUGAGGAAGGUGGGAAGUCUGUCCUGCCGGCGUGUGGCAGGGCUGGGGGAGCUUUCCUGAGCUCUUUCACUUUUAUGCUCCUCCGAUGCCGAUAAACAUGCAACACAUACGCAUACAUCUCCCUCUCAUAUGUGCAUAUAUAUAUAUUCACCUAUAUAUACUUAUAUAUUUUUUUCUUA